CCGACCUUAGCUCAGUUGGUAGAGCGGAGGACUGUAGUUGGUUAAUUACCUAAUAGACAUCCUUAGGUCGCUGGUUCGAAUCCGGCAGGUCGGA
rfam:Glycine soja cultivar W05 scaffold8659_4, whole genome shotgun sequence.